AGUGCAGGGCGGCACCGGCGGGCAUCUGAGAAACAAACCUGCCCCGAGGAUCUCACGCCACACGACCAAUCUUUUGGAAUCUCCUGCAAAGGUCCACGCACUUCAUCUCAACACAGAGGGUCGAAGAGUGGCCACAGGUUAAACAGGGUUUUAACAGGCUCAUCUGUCAAACCUCACUGACCGGGGCCUCCUGAGCAACGGCCUCCUUCCAGGAGGAGCAGCAUUAUCAACACCUCACCUCGCCUAGAGUCCCAGGGACUGCUCCCUAAGGACACGGAGGUGCAGUCGCCUAGGACCAGCUCAGGCAGGGAAGCCCACGGCACGGGCGUCACCGCGUGGGUGCGCAGGGUCCGCUGGCAUCCAGGAGCGGGCCUCAGGGGACGACCGUGGCGCAGUAUCAAGGAGCCGAGUCAGGUCACCAGUGCACAGUCCUCUCGCGCACAAGGUUUGCUCUGAGUAGGCGGACGGCGUCCAGACUCAGAGCUCACAGAAGCUCCGAAGGACACACACCCCCGUGGAGAGCUAGCGCCCCCCGCUGGCGGGACAGGCGGCAGACAGCGCGGAUUCCAGACGUAAGAACCCUCUCUACAGGCUAUCUCCCCUUACUAAUAUGACCAAUGCAUGAAAUGAAUCCAGAGGGCCCCAAAAAGACCAAGCAGGCCUGUGUUCCAAAGCCGCUCAGGAGGGAGCUAACUACGGCCUCUCUCCUUGCAAACUCAGAAGCCACUUGGACAAACCUCUCCGCCCAGAGGCGCACAGCUCUCGGACCGCACAUCAGUCACACGCCUGGCUGGGUGUCACCAAUGCCCCGGGGCUGCCUGAGCUCCGCGGAGGCAGGGGCAACCCUCCUUCCUGCUGCCUCAGUUUGCCACCUGUCCCCACGCAGCCCAGCCUCCUGAACAGAAACAUCACCCUUACCUGCUCUUCAGUGGCCCCCGCCACAGUCGCCGACUCAGAAGUCAGGACCCACUUUCUUUCAUCACCUGAGCAGCAAGACCGCACUGCGCUCAGCACCAAAGUCCUCCAGAACGUCCGCCAGUCCACGCACCCCCAUUCACGAGAGCUUCAGGGGCCACAGAACCCCUCUUUCUGUCCCCCACCCCUAUCUUCUCCUCACUGUCCUGUCCCCACGCCCCUGACCUGUCCUCCUGCACGGCGCCAGAGCCCACCACAUGGCGUGCACCCACACCCUGCCCACGGCUCGUGCCCUGCUCUCGGGCUUAUGCCCAGAGGGUGCUGGCUCAUGCGCUGAGCACUGUCCCCGGCCCCUGGCUCCCCUGCCACCCGCUCAGAGGCCAGCCCGACACCAGCACGGUCCAGGCUCAUGGCUCACGCCGCUGGCAGCAAGGCAGAGAGCGGUUCUCACUUCCCAGCUGUCCCACGCGGCACAGAACCCCCUGGAAAGGAGGGGCGAGAGCAGAGAACACCCACCCACCCAGACUGCUCUUCAGGGCUGCGGGUGCUGCACAAGGACCCAUCCUGGAACCCACCCGAGGGUCCCGAGCUGCGAUCGUUGAAAACCUCCAGGGAGGGUGCUAAAUAAAGGUAAGUGUGUUUCUGGAACAUAAGCAAAUGAGAAAAGGAAGAGCUGUCACCACCAAAGUCAAAAUGGUGCUCUGACAGGUGCCAAGGAAGUGGGGCUGCCCCAGGCUCUGCGGCAGCCAGCAGGCCAGGCCCAAGAGAGAAGCAAGGGGCCACGGCCCUGGGCUGCUCGUGGCUGGUGCACACUGGACAGGAGGUCACGGCUGCGGGGGCAGAAAACUGGCGGACCCUGUGCAAAGCGAGAAAGAGGAUGUGUCCACCAGGAAGGUCCCGGCCUCGCUGAGUCCACGGACAACGCUCGGUGUCUCCCAUGGCAUCUCUGGCCCCAGUCAAAGUGGCAGAUGUGUCAGCAGUGGCUGCAGAGCUCAGUGGCCACCCUUGAGUAAGGUCACGGACAGGUGCUUCAUGCUUUACAGAACCAAGCUUUGGCACAGCAAUGAGAACCAAGACUUCAGCAUCUACGUACAGAUCAAGCGUUCAGAGUUGCCAGAACUUCUCCAGUUUAGAGUCCAAAGAUAACAUGACCCGAAAUGAACAGAACAGCACGGUUCUCCCCAAGUAUGCCGCUGACCCGCUCGCUGGAAGGUGGAAAAUGCGCGCUCUGACCUCAGCUCCUGCCGGCCUGCCAGGCAGCACCUUUGGUCCCUCCACUCCCGUCUGCCCCGGGGCGGUGAGGAGCAGCCCUCCAGGGAGCCCGGGAGCAGGCCCCGGUGUGCCGGGCGUGCCAGGCCCCCGCCACCCGCGCAGAAGCAGCCGCACGCAGUGAGCGCCUCCCGGGAACGCGGACACGCUCGCGGACAUCAGCGCAGACGCCACUGUCGCCCUGCCCGGGCCGCGCGGGCCACAGCAAGGUGCACCCAUCCAGACCGUUUCCAGAUCCAUGUCCAGUUUAAAGUGUAAAUGUUUUACCAAAUAGACACCAUGACUGGAAUGUUACUGAGGAAAACAGCCUGGGGGCCGUCCUCCUCUCCGAAGGGCCCCGUGAAGCCCACCGUCUCACGUGGGGACGCUCGGGCGAACUCGGUCACGGUCCUCUAAGGCUUUAGAAAACGCACAAGAGAUUACGAGGUACCGAGGGAAACAAACAAUGGAGUUCACAGUACAUACAUUCUGGCGGAAGUCUGUUCUUUCUAAAAGCAAGUCUCUCAGUUUUCUUUCUGCUUUCUGCCAAGCUAAACAGCACUCCGUAAACAUACUGGCGGACUGGCCUAUAGAGCAGGGCGGCGGGAGGCAGGUCUUUGCUGGCUUCAUCUUCAAUAGAAACAGCAAUUUUGAUUUCACCCUUUGCAUGGAAGAAAGCAGAAUAAUAUUGCACAUUUUUCAUGUUGAAUUCACAACAAACUCACAGAAACAUACUGCAUUAUCUCCAGUUAACGACAUUGCAAUGCUAUUCCACAUCAAUGCUUAACCACUUGCGUGCAGCCGCGUGGUUAGGGACUUCAUUAGCAAUUGUCAAAACAUAUGCUCAGAGAGUCAAAAUAAAAUCUCUGUGGUUUCAUCCUGAAUCUGGAACCAAAAGCAUAAGAAACCACAGACGAUACCCAAGUCUUUGAGACCAUCUAGAGAACAGCAGACAACAAAUAGAACAGGCAAUGCUGAGGACUUGCGAACUUUACUAUGAGUCAUGAAAUUCAUACUUGUUAAUGGCCUACGUGCGAUCCAAGAAAUGAGUAUCCUGAAAACAAAAUGGUCAAAGUGUCUUCACCAAGCACCUGCGUAAAACACGGCCACGUGCAAGCACGGUCCCCCUGAGGGCACUCUCCUCAGUGCUCUCUGGUUUGUGAGGCUUUGGCACAUGGCCGGCCCCGGCGGGAGACGAGGGGCCACGUGUCCCGCUCCUGUGGCCCUGUGUGCCUCCGGCAUGCUACGGAGUCAAGGUGCAUCAAGAGAUGCGGCAGGGGACUCUACUCAGCUGUAUUCCUAGCGUAACAACGUCCGUGUGACCUUCAGUGGCUAUUAAGUUCAUCAAUACGCUUCUUACGAAUUCCAUAGUAUCUGCUCCUUGUUCACCUAAAUUUAAUUUCAAAAUCUGUCUCUCCCUUAUCCUCACGAAGCCGGCACCGCUGUGUGGCGGGCGCCCUCCCGGGUCCUGGCUCGGCCGGCUGCCGUGUGAGGGUGAAGCCGCGGCCACAGCGGACGUCUUGGCUGACAAUUUAACACCAGAGCCACGCAGCUCGCAGGAAACCGCGUGCCUGACAGGCUGAGCUUUCCCUGCAUACCAAAAAAUUUUAGGUGGCAUUUUAAAAUCUGAAAAGAUAGUCAUUUGCUUUUGUCGACCAUGAUCACUUUAUUACUAUUUGCCCUUGAGAUCAAUGAGUGGUGGAGGAGGACGGGCCACCUGUCACUCAGGCCGUCCCCAGGCAGACCACAGCAGGCACGGCAGGAGGACAGGGGUCCAGGAACUCACAGCCCGCACAACCCCAUGGGCACUGGGCGUGAUUUCCUCCAACCCUGGGCCCCUUUAAACUCAGCAAGUCCUUCUCAGCGAGAGGAACUUUCCACUUACCCUUACAAUACAUGUUGCUCCUGAAAAAUAAAAUGUUUACUUCACAACCAUAAUCUGAAAAGUGAGAGCACAUGUGCGGACCCAUGGCAACAGUACAUGAGACUUGGAGGCAACCGUGAUUUAAAACUAAAUGAAGGGGCUGAGUCACUGUGGUGCCAGGAGAGCGGUCCGCCUGACUGCUGUGGGGCAGGGGGUUCGGACCCCACGUUACAAACCACAGAUGGACUGCGAAAACAGGGAGAAGAGCGUCUGAUUAUCUACGGUGGGACAGACACCAAGGAAAACGUGUUAAAAAUACAUGAUGGCAAUAAACCAAUUUCACAUGAAAAAUCUGGUCACCAAGGUUACAUGUUAAAUCAUGGGUCUAGGAUUAUAAACACUGACAAAAAGACUACAAAUCACUGAGAAAAUUUCAAUGGACACAUAGAUCCAUUCAAGACACCGAGAUUCAAAGCCAAUGCCACGCUAGAUGUACAUGGAAGCGUACAUUCGGUCAGACGUCACUAAAGUGGAAUCAGGAGGCUGUGUAGACAGAAACGUGCCCGCUCUGACCACUAACGUGGUGUGCAGUCCGUCCUGGGAUUCUGUUAAGUGCCGUGAGAGCUGCACCAUCACAUUAAACCUGCCGUCAGAGCAUCAACACGGUGCAGGAAAUGUUGAAAUUGGAAACAAACAAAUUUACAAGUCAGAAAACAACACGAUGUGCCAUUAAUGUGAAGUUUCAAGUGUUUUAUACCAAAUUGAAAGAAAAAUAAAACUUUCCCAAGUUCUC